rnacentral:lncRNA from 1 species
UUCCUUCCCUAAAUCAUCCUGCAACAUAUCUCCAGAAACUAGCCUCUCUAAUAUUUUAAAACAAGCCACGUCAUCAGAGUAGGCCCAGUUGAAAACACCCCGUCGAUCUGACCGGUGACCGCACGCGUCCACACCUUACCAGCGCCACACCCACACUUAUCUCUCUGAUUUUCACCGUUCCUCUCCCCCCUCUCUCUCCUUCUUCUUCACCUCCGUUCCCCACAACUGUACCUUAGAUCUUGUGGUGGGGGUGGCAUCCCAACAACGGUGGCGAGUGGACCCAAUGGCGGGAACAACGACGCGCGGGAACAGUGGGGCGAGCUGCAGCUCCCCUCCCCCCCCCCCCGUCGGGAGCAGCGGCGCAGGCCCGGGCGAGCUGCAGCCCUCUGCUGGAGGUUCCCACCGGCGGCACUUCCUCCACAUCGAGCGGGUCAUAGUCAUCGGCAGGGCACGAGAAGAGGACGCCCAUCGCGACGGCUUCCUCCUGGAUCUUUCCUUCCCUUGUCCGAUUCUUAUGUUGGUUUUGUACUUUUGUUGUUGGGUUCCUCAACUUCUGCCUUCGUGUCUCCCUUGGCGAACAGAAGAGGCUGCUGGGUGGGGGAGCAACAGCUGACCAGCUGAGCUGGGUGGAGGGUGGCUGGCGGUGUGGACUUUCCGAUGAUGAGAAGGGAGGGAGGAGAUGCCGUGAAACUGGCGCGCGUGGAGUAAAAGAGUGCGGGAACGGAUCAUCAGGGGCGAUUGCGGAAGGGGCGACCUCACGCAAAUAUCCGAGGCGAUACGGUCGGGAUUCGCGUCGCCUAAAACUUGUGGGUGUUUUGGGGAGCCGUUGGAGUUCUUUUUUUUUUUCUCUUUUUCUCUAAAAAAGAUAUUAAGGGUAAAAUACAGGUGCUCUUGGAGUUGCUCUGAGACUGUGGGGGCGUUUGGUUUCCUUUGCUUAUUUUUAGCUCGUGUCACAUCGAAUGUUUAGAUACUAAAUAGGAGUAUUAAACGUAGACUUUUUACAAAACCCAUUACAUUAGUGGAGGCUAAACGGCGAGACGAAUCUAAACAUUCGAUGUGACGGGUGUUAAAAAUAAGUCAAAGGAACCAAACCAGACCUGUAAAUGAGCUGAGCUCGAGAGGUGCUCUUGGAGUUACUCUAAGGCUGUAAAUGAGAUGAGCUCGAGAGGUGCUCUUGGAGGUGCUCUAAGACUGUAAAUGAGCUGAGCUCGAGUGAGUUCAUUGAACCAAGCUUAAGUUCAUUAGAGAUCGAGUCGAGUUUGAUCCAAGCCCCAAAAUUGUUUUCAUAGUUUAAGCCGAUCUCUGAUUAAAGUUAAAGCGAGC